rnacentral:tRNA from 1 species
GCCAGCAUGGCAUAGUGGUUUUAGUGUUAGACUGUGACUUUGGAGACCAGGGUUCGAUUCCCGCUCGGCCA